GGAAAAGGCAAGAGCAUGGAGUAGGGUAGAGACGAAGAAAAAGAAGAAGUACUCGUAUCGAUAAAAAGAUCAUCGGAUUUUCGUUUGUAAUCAAAAUAGUGAAUGAAUUAUGAAAAUUCUCGCUAAUGUUAAAAAGUGCAGUCCCUUGAAAUAACUGAAUACGAGAAGGGAGACUUAUAGCUCGAAGUGGGUGCAACGAAAGAUAGUUGGGGGAGAGAGAGAGAGAGAGAGAGAGAGAGAGAGAGAGAGAGAGAGAGAGAGAGAGAGGUGGAAGUGGAAUUGGAGAGGUGGUACGAGCAGUAGUAUAGUGGUGGUGGUAGUACGGGAGAACCAGGAGGUGGAGAAGGCUUGCCAGCCGCCGGAAGAACAUCGACGGUGACGGGGGUGGGGAAGCUGUCCACCGAACGGAACGACCGCUCGGUGAUACGAACGGCAAGUCGAACGGAUACGGAUAUAUCAACCAUCGACGAUAGUUGCUGAUUUUCUGCUAGUCGGUAUCCAGCGGUGGGGGAGGAAGGAGAAGAAGGAGGUGGCGGCGGCGGUGG